GACGAACGCUGGCGGCGCGCUUAGCACAUGCCAGUCGAACGGAAAGGCCCUGCUUUUGUGGGGUGCUCGAGUGGCGAACGGGUGAGUAACACGUGAGUAACCUGCCCUUGACUUUGGGAUAACUUCAGGAAACUGGGGCUAAUACCGGAUAGGAGCUCCUGCUGCAUGGUGGGGGUUGGAAAGUUUCGGCGGUUGGGGAUGGACUCGCGGCUUAUCAGCUUGUUGGUGGGGUAGUGGCUUACCAAGGCUUUGACGGGUAGCCGGCCUGAGAGGGUGACCGGCCACAUUGGGACUGAGAUACGGCCCAGACUCCUACGGGAGGCAGCAGUGGGGAAUAUUGCACAAUGGGCGGAAGCCUGAUGCAGCAACGCCGCGUGCGGGAUGACGGCCUUCGGGUUGUAAACCGCUUUCGCCUGUGACGAAGCGUGAGUGACGGUAAUGGGUAAAGAAGCACCGGCUAACUACGUG
rnacentral:rRNA from 1 species